UCCUGAUGUAGCGGCGGACGGGUGAGUAACACGUGGGUAACCUGCCUGUAAGACUGGGAUAACUCCGGGAAACCGGGGCUAAUACCGGAUGGUUGUUUGAACCGCAUGGUUCAAACAUAAAAGGUGGCUUCGGCUACCACUUACAGAUGGACCCGCGGCGCAUUAGCUAGUUGGUGAGGUAACGGCUCACCAAGGCAACGAUGCGUAGCCGACCUGAGAGGGUGAUCGGCCACACUGGGACUGAGACACGGCCCAGACUCCUACGGGAGGCAGCAGUGGUCA
rnacentral:rRNA from 1 species